ACCGCCCCUGCCGCCUCAGGACAGCCGUCUGUGAAUAGAACACAGGAAGAGCUGGUGAAGACUGAGGGCCAGGCUAACUGCAGCUGAGGGCCCGCAAUGGCACCAAAGCCUAUGAAACACCCCACUUUCCCCCGGCAGACCCAGGCUGAUCGGUAAGUUGGCUAUUGUGAGCGGUGCUGCAGCCAACAGAUUUAAGGCAUCUCUACAGGAUUCCAACCUCAGUUACUCUAUGUAUAAGCCCCAGGAACGGGACAGCUAGAUCCUGCAGUUCUUUAAUAUGGACACUAAUCUUGAACAAUGAACAAGGACCUGCCAAAGACUUUCUCCACCCUCUGUAGCUUCUUGCAAUCCCAUCUGUCAACUGCUGCUACGUGAUGGACUAUCAGAGUCAGCUUCAGAUUUCCAGGUCUUCCCCAGGAUGUCUUCUCUAGCUGCUCCGGCUUUGCGUACAUCACACUGAUCUUUGAGCACCGUCUUAAAGCCCGUGUUUAGAUGGUGGCUUCCUUACUAUAUAAAGGGGAUGGAUGCAUCUCUUGUCCUCCA